AUUUGAAACACCAGUUCGCGUACAAUCACGUAAGUUAAGCAACGUUGAGCCAGGUCAGUGCCUAGAUGGGUGACCGCUUGGGAAUCACCAGAUGUU